rnacentral:rRNA from 1 species
AGAGAGAGCAAUAACAGGUCUGUGAUGCCCUUAGAUGCCCUGGGCCGCACGCGAGCUACAAUGCCGGGUACAGCGGGUUUAACUUCCUUCGCCGAAAGGUGCGGGUAACCCUCUGAAAUCCCUUCCGACGACGCGCUUGCGUACGGGUCUCCCUAGCGCUUGCGUGUCUCUCGGCUCGAUUGGGCCUGGGGCUUGCAAUUAUUUCCCACAAACGAGGAAUGCCUUGUAUUGGCUAGUCACGGAACUUGCAGCGACUCAGUCCCUGCCCUUUGUACACACCGCCCGUCGCUACUACCGAUUGAGUGUACCAGUGAGAUUCUUGGACUGGCGAACCGUCUCUCGUCUCGAGUAAUCGAAACGCCGACGGCGAACGACGGAAAGAGACCCGAACUGGUGCACUUAGAGGAAGUAAAA